rnacentral:rRNA from 1 species
UACAGAAGUCUCAAGCGUUGUUCGGAUUCAUUGGGCGUAAAGGGUGUGUAGGUGGCGCGCUAAGUCGGGUGUGAAAUUUCGGAGCUUAACUCCGAAACUGCAUUCGAUACUGGCGUGCUUGAGGACUGGAGAGGAGACUGGAAUUCAUGGUGUAGCAGUGAAAUGCGUAGAGAUCAUGAGGAAGACCAGUGGCGAAGGCGGG